UACGACAACUUAUGAAGCUCGGGAACGAAAAUGGGCUCUAAAAAUGAAUCGGGUCGCACGAAACGGGCUUGUGGGCCUGGGGCCCAAGCCCACUUGAAAGACCUAGUAUAUAAGCACCUUUUCUCACUCUUGGUCAAUUGGAAACCCUAAAUAAGUCAGCGCACACCACAACUCUCCCCUGAUCCCCUUUUCUUCAGCAUAUACUCUAAACAUCACCACAAACACCUUAUAUCCUCCAUUAUGUCAAAAUCCUAGCCAUAUCCCUUGCAUUUCCUCUGCAGAUUGUCAACCAAAUAAAUAAAAGAAAACAAACAAACAAACUCCAUACACUAAUAUCUCCACCCUCUCGGCUCUCUCUCUGACGACGAAGACAAAAGAGGCCGGCUGACCACCACCCUAGGUGGCGGUGCUCGGCGGCUGGGGCGGCAGACGAUAGUCAGCAACACAACACCCCCCCCCCCACACACACACACUUGUUUACCUUCUCUAAUUGAAACGGUUGACCACCACCAUCGUCUGGUGGCGGUGUGGCGACGAGGUGAAAGGGAGAUGGAGAGAGAGACGAUGGGAUAAGAGAGAGCGAGGAGAGAGAGAAGGUGGAGGGUUGAUGACGGUGGUAGGAAGCCGGCGUCGAGUCGAUUUUCGAUGACCGGCAACGGUGGUUCUGUUGUCCGACGGGUUCCGUGACGAUGAUGAUUUAUUGAUGUUGAAGGUGUAAAGAUCUGCAGUUGAUAAUGAUGUUUUGAUCGGUCACAAGGCAGCGGGUUUCUUUUCUCAUAUUCAGCUUUGGAUUCAUGUUCCAGGUUCUGUGACGGUUCGAGUUUUGGUUCAGAUCUGGCUCAGAUUCGUGUUGGGUUCUUGGUUUGAGCAGGGUUAUAAUAUUCCAGAUCCAUGAUACGGCUCGGUUCAUACUGUCAGUUUGGUUUGGGUCUCAGUCUCGGUUCGGUCGACUCGGGUCAAACCGGGUCGACUCAGUCAACGCUGGUCAACAGAAGUCAACACAGUCAAAGCCAGUCAAGACGGAUAACAGCAACCUCGGUCCGAGUCAGCUCAGUUUGGUGCGGGUCAAUGUCGAAUGUAGUUCAGUCAACUUGGUCAGAUUAGGGAGCGGUUCGGUUGACUCGGUCAAACCGAGUCAACUCGGUCAAACUCCGGUCAAAUGAGUCGCCACGAGGCUCGGUAAAGCUUAAACAUAGCAAAUUAUUAGUAUGUUAUUUUUAGAUUUUAUUAGUCUACGCGAACCGAGCUCGACCCGACUAACUAACGGUUUUACAUUAGUGAUUUGGUUUCGUAAUUGACGUUUUGAUAUACUUGGCGUAAACUUUAUAUAUAAUGGUUGUGAAACAUUGUUGAA